rnacentral:rRNA from 1 species
ACUUUCAACAACGGAUCUCUUGGNUCUCGCAUCGAUGAAGAACGCAGCGAAAUGCGAUAAGUAAUGUGAAUUGCAGAAUUCAGUGAAUCAUCGAAUCUUUGAACGCACCUUGCGCUCCUUGGUAUUCCGAGGAGCAUGCCUGUUUGAGUGUCAU